rnacentral:rRNA from 1 species
AGUGAACGCUGGCGGUAGGCCUAACACAUGCAAGUCGAACGGCAGCACAGUAAGAGCUUGCUCUUACGGGUGGCGAGUGGCGGACGGGUGAGGAAUACAUCGGAAUCUACUUUUUCGUGGGGGAUAACGUAGGGAAACUUACGCUAAUACCGCAUACGACCUACGGGUGAAAGCAGGGGAUCUUCGGACCUUGCGCGAGUGAAUGAGCCGAUGUCGGAUUAGCUAGUUGGCGGGGUAAAGGCCCACCAAGGCGUCGAUCCGUAGCUGGUCUGAGAGGAUGAUCAGCCCCACUGGAACUGAGACACGGUCCAGACUCCUACGGGAGGCAGCAGUGGGGAAUAUUGGACAAUGGGCGCAAGCCUGAUCCAGCCAUACCGCGUGGGUGAAGAAGGCCUUCGGGUUUUAAAGCCCUUUUGUUGGGAAAGAAAAGCAGCAGGUUAAUACCCCGCUGUUCUGACGGUACCCAAAGAAUAAGCACCGGCUAACUUCGUG